UACGUAGGGUGCAAGCGUUGUCCGGAAUUAUUGGGCGUAAAGAGCUCGUAGGCGGUUUGUCGCGUCGGCUGUGAAAACCUGGGGCUCAACCCCGGGCCUGCAGCCGAUACGGGCAAGCUAGAGUUCGGUAGGGGAGACUGGAAUUCCUGGUGUAGCGGUGAAAUGCGCAGAUAUCAGGAGGAACACCAAUGGCGAAGGCAGCUCGCUGGGACGGUACUGACGCUGAGACGCGAAAGCGUGGGGAGCAAACAGG
rnacentral:rRNA from 1 species